AGUCAUAUGCUUGUCUCAAAGAUUAAGCCAUGCAUGUCUCAGUACAAGCCAAAUUAAGGUGAAACCGCGAAAGGCUCAUUAAAUCAGUUAUGGUUCCUUAGAUCGUACCCACAUUUACUUGGAUAACUGUGGUAAUUCUAGAGCUAAUACAUGCCAACAGAACUCCGACCGGAGACGGAAGGAGUGCCUUUAUUAGAUCAAAACCAAUCGGUGGCGCGGCCUCGGCCGUGUCAUCGUACAACAUGGUGAAUCUGAAUAACGUUUGCUGAUCGCACGGUCUCGCACCGGCGACGCAUCUUUCAAAUGUCUGCCUUAUCAACUGUCGAUGGUAGGUUCUGCGCCUACCAUGGUUGUAACGGGUAACGGGGAAUCAGGGUUCGAUUCCGGAGAGGGAGCCUGAGAAACGGCUACCACAUCCAAGGAAGGCAGCAGGCGCGCAAAUUACCCACUCCCGGCACGGGGAGGUAGUGACGAAAAAUAACGAUACGGGACUCAUCCGAGGCCCCGUAAUCGGAAUGAGCACACUUUAAAUCCUUUCACGAGGAUCAAUCGGAGGGCAAGUCAGGUGCCAGCAGCCGCGGUAAUUCCUGCUCCGAUAGCGUAU
rnacentral:rRNA from 1 species